ACGUUACAGUCAGUCAGUCAGUCAGUCAGUCAGUCAGUCAGUCAGUCAGUCAGUAAGUGUAAGGCUCAUAAAGAAAAACAGCGUUUUAAAAAUGUCAGCUGUAUAACGUUAUUUCACGUUUGGUAGUUUUAUCCGAGUUGAAAACUGUCAGAUUUGAGUUGACUUUUGAGGCACUUUUUACUCAGUUGUUCUAUGGAAACGGUUCAGGACAAAUAAAACGCUAACCAAACGUUAUUCUGUCCAGAGUAACGUUAUCCAUGUAAGUAAUUUACCAGAUGAUAUCAAUUGACUACAUUAAUAAUGACAUUGCGUAUGAAACAAACUGUCUGCUUAAUCAGAUGAACAGACCCGCGUCAGUUAUUCGUGACUUCACUACGCCACGAGCAACACUUGAUUCUAUUAGAAAAAGCUUUUUUAAAUGCCUCGCGUGACGUCUGGUAUAUUAACUGAAAAAAUUGCUUUGAAGUGCCACACCUUAAAGCUGACGUUUUCAGAAGAGCACCUUGUUUUAAGAUCUCAUUUUGUCCAAAAUUGCGUCCUAUGACAGAUAUAAUACUUAUUUCAUUAUUGCUCUGUGUAUGUGUGACCUUCAUCAUUUGAGGUUGUGUGUUGAUUUCACCUCUGAAUAUUUCCUCUUAUAGGUCCAUCAUCCUUGCAUGCGCUACACACUCAAAAGCAUUGAUAAAUGCUGAAUUUAAAAGAAUCACUACUGUCUUAUGUUCCUGCGUGUCACCUGGACCUCCAAUCCAAAAACCUGACGAAACUCUUCUAUCAGAAAGGAGGACAGCUAGCAAAAAGACUUCAAACAAUGAAUGAUCAAAUGACAGAAGGCAUGGAUGAAGUCAGCAUCAGUGUGGUCAUUUGAAGACACCACUGUUGGGAUUUGUGCUCUCAAACAACAUGCUUCUUGUGAUGAAGAAGAGGAUCUUUGUAUAGUCCUGGAAGGCAUGAAGGUGUUGCAACAUCGUGCCAUGUUGUUUGAGCUGAUGUAUGCCUUAAACCUGAGCUAUCCUGAUCUCUGCUUUAUUUUUGAAGAAAUCCAAAAGAUUUUAAUGGAACUGCAUUGAGCGUAACUUUAACGAACAGUUUCUUUCAGUGAAAGGAUCAGAAAGACUGUGCUGCUCAUUUAUGUUCUGUUUAUCUGUUUUAAGUGUUUUUUCUUAUUAAAACAUGAACAGUUUUCUGCUCAGAGUUGAUUUUGGAAAUGGUUGUUGUAUUUUGUUUUUGUUGAAUCUUUGAUUAUCAGUUUAUACAAAUGCUGUAGCUCUGACUUUCUGAAGGAUUGAUAUUUUCCAGUUUGUAAAUCCAUUUAAAAAAUAAUAGUACUUACUGUUUUGCAUGUCUCUUUGGAAUGCAGUGUUUGUGCUUUAGCACUUCUAAAUCUACUGUGAUAGUAACUAUUUUAAACAUUUGGGUCAGUUUUACAGAUGGGGCUUUUUCUAGUCCCAGACUUUUGCAAUGCCUUAAUUUGAAAACAUAUUGCACUGACAUAUCUUGACAUAUAUCAGUGCCAUUGUUUUGUCUCAAGAUGUACUCCAGUGUUGUUUUUGUAAGGUAGGUUUGUUUGUAAACUUUUUUUGUAAAAAAUAUCCUAAUAUAAUAUAACUAGGGCCUAGUCAUGGAUUAAUCUACAACCUGUUUGGGAAAUUGCCCCUUUGUAUGUACUGCAUGUGCUGAUUGUUGUAAUAGUUAUUGACUGUUGUUGAAUUAAUGUGUAGUGAUUUAAAUGAAUUGAUGAUCUGAAAGCAGUGGUUUGCCUCAAUAUCACUAAACUUUUGUUUAAAACUCUUUGCUUUUUAUGCCAAUGCAAAUGUAUUUUGUAUUUAAAAAAGAAAUAAAUAACAUUUGGAUAAUUA